rnacentral:rRNA from 1 species
ACGGCUCAGUAACACGUAGCUAACCUACCCUUAGGACGUCGAUAACCCCGAGAAAUUGGGGCUAAUAGGCGAUAGGUGUGAUGUCCUGGAAUGGUAUCACGCCCAAAGGUAUCCCAUACAUGUUUGGUAUACGCCUAAGGAUGGGGCUGCGGCCGAUCAGGCUGUUGGUGAGGUAAUGGCUCACCAAACCUUUGACCGGUACGGGCCAUGAGAGUGGUAGCCCGGAGAUGGACACUGAGACAAGGGUCCAGGCCCUACGGGGCGCAGCAGGCGCGAAACCUCCUCAAUGCACUAACGUGCGAAGGGGUUACCUCGAGUGCUAUCUGAAGAAGGUGGCUUUUCCUAGGUCUAAAAAGCCUUGGGAAUAAGAGGGGGGCAAGACUGGUGUCAGCCGCCGCGGCAACACCAGCCCCUCGAGUGGUGGGGAUGAUUAUUUGGCCUAAAGCGUCCGUAGCCGGCCGGGUAAGUUUCCCGUUAAAUCCAACGUCUCAAGCGUUGGACUGCGGGAAAUACUGCCAGGCUAGAGAGUGGGAGAGGUCAGCGGUAUUCUGGGGGUAGGGGCGAAAUCCUUUGAUCCCCGGAGGACCACCAGUGGCGAAGGCUGCUGACUAGAACACGUCUGACGGUCAGGGACGAAAGCUGGGGUAGCGAACCGGAUUAGAUACCCGGGUAGUCCCAGCCGUAAACGAUGCAUGCUAGGUGUUGGGUUGGCCACGAGCCACCCCAGUGCCGCAGGGAAGCCGUUAAGCAUGCCGCCUGGGAAGUACGAUCGCAAGAUUGAAACUUAAAGGAAUUGGCGGGGGAG